rnacentral:rRNA from 1 species
UACGGAGGGUGCAAGCGUUAUCCGGAUUCACUGGGUUUAAAGGGUGUGUAGGCGGGUUUUUAAGUCAGGGGUGAAAUCCUACAGCUUAACUGUAGAACUGCCAUUGAUACUAUUAAUCUUGAAUAUUGUUGAGGUAGGCGGAGUACAUCAUGUAGCGGUGAAAUGUGUAGAUAUAUGGAAGAACACCAAUAACGGCGAAGGCAGUUAACUAUUCUGUUACUGACAUUGAGGCACGAAAGCGUGGGGAGCAAACAGG